UCAACCAGCAGCUACCUAGAGGAAGGCAGAAUGGUUUCUCAAAAAGUACCAUUGCGAUUGCCUGCUCUGACCUUCUUCACCGCAAACACAGCUCAACACAACCCCUUAUUUCUAUAUUGAUUUCAUACUAACUGGCCGUGCUCUACCAGAAGAACUGCAAGCUCUCCUUUUACAACAGAACAGCACCAAGGCUUUUUCUUCCCCUCCGGACUGGCAGCCAGCAGCAGGCCGGCCAGCACCCCACCCGGCAGCAGGUGCAACUUGUGGCCGUUUGAUGGACACCCAAAGCCAGGAGGCCAUGAGCAGGGGCCAGGACUGCAGGGGCCAGGAUGUGAAGAGAGUGUGGGGGUACCAGCAAGGGAGGAGAGGCUGGUUCUGGUGACCUUGGAUGAGCCUUGCAAGGUGUGACGCACCUAGGAGAUGACAGGACCAUGAUGUGAAUGUCCACAUGUGUUUCAACAUUAAAGGGAAAACUUGGCCUGUUUGCCUUCCCCAAGAGGGAAUUAAUGUCUCCAGGAAGAGAAGCAGGUGUCAUGAACUGGAAGGAACAGCUGUGCUAGGACAGAGAUGCCGUGACACCUGUAAUACAGAUCACAGAAUCAUCUAGGUUGCAAGAGACCUCCAAGAUCAGAUGGAGUACCACCAGAACAAAGACGCUGAAUUCCUUAUUUUCUCUCAUUUUUCACUGCAUGGCAAUACUGUUCUUUGCAUGGUACCAUUUAUAGCUGUUGAAGUGAGAAUUAAAUGCUAAUGAAUUAGCCUAACUAUUACUUUACAUGCACUUUUCAUGAGUGCAAAUUAAAAGAUAACGAAGGUGUCAUGGGAAUCUUCGUCAUGAGACUCCUGCUCCUGCUGCAGUUCGAUGUAAUGACAGCCUUCCUGCCACUGACCUUAUGAACCAGAUCCUGCUCCUUUUCUCAUCAUACAUGUUUCCCCCUUUUCUUUUACUUGUUACCUCUUUUACCUCCACUACUCUCUUAGAUCAGAGAUUUGCUAAUUUCAUGCCUGCUCUAUCACUUGUGUAAAAAUACAUUUAAAAAUGCACACAUAUGAAAGUAUGUAUAUGCCAUUAUGUUUUAAAAUCAAAGCAUUGUGCAUCAAGCAGGACAUACAGCAGCCUAUAAAUGCUUAAAUGGAUGAUGCUGGAGCACAUUUCUGCAGUUCCAUGUUUCUUUUGCCAACAGUGAACCUGGUUAGUUUAACCCAGUAUUUUCUUCGUAAACAUUAUAAAAAAGGAGACAAAAUAAAGUCCCUGAGCAAAUUGCAGCUGCCCUUUACAUGAAAAAACAAGGAUUGAGUACUACAUGUUAUUUCAGCCUCUUGAUGAGGCAAGUCAAAACAAGGAGGAAGAGCUAAUAUGGUGGACUACAGCUUUGGAAUCACUUCAGUACAGCUGGGUAGAUUUUAAGGCCAGAAAAAAAAA